rnacentral:sRNA from 1 species
GAAAGAUAGAACACAAUAAACUGUCCCGUGCCCCCCUUAAGUACACAUGUGAGAUCAUAUUGCACUAUUGAGCCCCUAUGGGAGCCAGACGUCGUUUUAGUGUAGAAUUGAGGCAACAUGUUUUGGUCAGAAUCGUUGUCGGUAAUUUCGCUAAGGAUGGAAAUAGGAGAAAGAAUAACUUCUGGUGGUGCAUAGCAUAUCUACACAGAAGCUGGAUUUUUGCGGCAUCGUAUAUGGUGGCGUUGGAGAAUCUUUUUGUUGGUGAUGCAAAGUUUUUGUUAACGCAUUUUCUAAGGAUUUUGCGCUCAAAGGUUUCAAGUUCCAUGGCCACCACAGGAGAGAUUGAAAACCAGAUGGAAAAGCCAUAUAGCAGUACAGACCUGAUUGCUACCUUAUAAAGCAAUAAUUUGGUGUUCUGAGGGUAGCGCUUGCAUGUGAAUUAAACUUCAUCAGGUUGGUGAAAUUAAUGCCCAGGUUGUUCGGGCUAUUCUGAGCGUAGCGAUGACAAUUCCUGCUAAACCACUGCAGCAUAUUAAAUUUCUUCCUGUAUUUGUAUUCUGGGACGAGAAAGGAAAAAUUAUUUGAACAAAAAGCAGAAAUGGGUAUUAUGACUCGCCAAAUUUAUCUUGAUCAUUAUUUCAUAUUUUUGCAGUUUUUCAUUUUUUUCUUGAUGUCAUCAACGACUUUUCUUGGAGAAUGCGUACAUCAGA